UGUUUGUCACCCAACAAGCUGACACUGCUGGUAGGUUAUGUGUUUGAGUUAAACCUAUAGAGAGGCCCUGUCCUUUGAUUAUAAAUCAAAUCUGUCAGCUAGGGAGUGUGUAGUCGCUGUUUUUAAGGACUGAUUCUGGAGCAGCAUCAUGGAGCCUCCUCCAAAGCUGCCAGUGUUGAAAAGACAUCUUAUCUAAAUAAGAUAUAAGAUCCUCCAGAUUUAAGCUAAGAGCACAAGUCAUUUCAAUUCAGUCAGUUUAUUUAUUCUUCUUAUUUCACAGCAGGUCCAUCAGCCUCCACCUCUACCUCCAUCACUGGUUUCAUCCAGGAAGCUGACAGUGCUGGUCUACCUGUGGCUACUGAAGUGGAGAGCAGUACCAUCGUGGUACCAGCACACCUGUCUCUCCAGUUUCUGCUGCUCCAGUGGAUCCAGCUGACUGGACAUCAGGACUUAACGACCAGUUACACGUUGAUGUGGUGAGCGGUAAAACCAGCACAGGUUGACAGAGACAUUUAGACUUUUCCAAAAAGACACUCAGACAGUAAAAGUCUUUUCUAUCAUUACAUGUUUAGAUCACUCAUAAAGAAGCAGGUUGAGAAAAUGAUGCUGUCAGCUGUUUCCUAGUUUUUGUCUCUUAAACUCUUGUUUGGCUGUUAUUAAAGAUUUAAGCUUUGGUCAUAAUCA